rnacentral:RNase_P_RNA from 1 species
CCAGACGGUUGGACGGUCGCUGUGCCGCGUGCUCUUUCGGGAGAUGGCGGGAUAGAGGAAAGUCCGGGCUCCAUGGAACACGGCGCCGGGUAACACCCGGGCGAGGCGACUCGACGGACAGUGCCACAGAGAACAGACCGCCGGAUUAUGCGGGAAGGGCUGAGGGUAUUCACGGCUAUUGAAAGGGGCGUUAUCGUCCGUUUCUUUGGUCCGAAACCCGGGUGCCUAAUCCGAUUCAGUCCGGUAAGGGUGAAACGGUGCGGUAAGAGCGCACCGCGCCGCCGGUAACGGUGGCGGCAGGGCAAACCCCGCCGGGAGCAAGGCCAAAUAGGGAUGAUGACAUGCCGUACCCUGCGUAAGCGGGAGGCGGCGUGUGGGUGCGUUCCACGCCCUGUCAUCCGGGUAGGCUGCUAGAGGUAACCGGUAACGGUUAUCCCAGAGGAAUGACCGUCCUCGACAGAACCCGGCUUACAGACCGUCUGGCUUU